rnacentral:rRNA from 1 species
CCUACGGGUGUCAGCAGUGGGGAAUAUUGGACAAUGGGGGGAACCCUGAUCCAGCCAUGCCGCGUGUGUGAAGAAGGCCCUCGGGUUGUAAAGCACUUUCAGUGAGGAAGAACGCCUGGUGGUUAAUACCCAUCAGGAAAGACAUCACUCACAGAAGAAGCACCGGCUAACUCCGUGCCAGCAGCCGCGGUAAUACGGAGGGUGCGAGCGUUAAUCGGAAUUACUGGGCGUAAAGCGCGCGUAGGUGGCUUGAUAAGCCGGUUGUGAAAGCCCCGGGCUCAACCUGGGAACGGCAUCCGGAACUGUCAAGCUAGAGGGCAGGAGAGGAAGGUAGAAUUCCCGGUGUAGCGGUGAAAUGCGUAGAGAUCGGGAGGAAUACCAGUGGCGAAGGCGGCCUUCUGGACUGACACUGACACUGAGGUGCGAAAGCGUGGGUAGCAAACAGGAUUAGAUACCCCAGUAGUC